AUCAACCACUUAUUUAACAACUUAUUUAAAAUAUAUGAUUUUUGAUUCAGUGUACUAAAUAACCAUUUUUAUUUUUAUUUAACGUAACGUACCUACGUGUUUCACAAGAAUCAAUCGCGCUAUAAAUAAAACAUUCAAUAUUUGAAAAACGCCAAAACAAAUUCAAAAAGUCGAUAAAAUUGAACUGUCGAUCACAAUAUUUCCGGACGAAAUUUGUAACUGCGCCUACAAACAUAAAAGUGGUGUGUAAAAUGUUACUGAAAUAUGUUUCAUAUCGCCCGUCGUAAAACAUUUUACACGAUAUCACAGCACUUGCGCCCACGCAUUUGAAAUGAAAUUAUUUCUGAGCAUCCAACUCCUCAGCAUUCUACUCCACAAGAGUUCAGAAUUGACAUCGGAUGAAGACGAUAUCUCUGACUACAGGUUUAAGAUAAACCGUGUGGACGGCGAGAGUAGCUCCGAGAAUGGACCUAUUUACAUCCACCAGCAUAGGCAUCAUAUGAAAAGACACAACAAGGGCUCCUGCCAGAAUUGUCCCAAUUGUGCCGAAGUCCAAAAACCAAAUAAUCCAAUGGAAAACGUUGUCUUCCUUCCAUCAUCUUCUGUCAAUCAACAUGAAGAAAAAGUGGAGCUGAAGCCUGGACUACAUGGGCUACACCAAUUUCCCGGCAGGUCUGAACACCACUGGCCCCAUGUGUCUGAACAGCAAUGGCCCUCAAACCAAGAAACUGUGCACCAUUGGCCUGCCCACGCCCAAGGAGCACAGUUGCCUGCAAAUGGGCUGGUUCAGCAUUGGCCAGCUCAGCAAUGGGCUGUGAGAUCUCAACCUCAGUAUCAUAAUCAUCAUAACCAAGCCCAUCAAAGACUUUGGCAAGGAAACCCGGUAUCGCAAUGGCCUGCAAAUCACGGUAUUGCGUCUCAGUGGGCUGGGAACCCAGGUGCGAAUGGUGUCCAAUGGCCUGAAGGCAGUUGGCCUGGGAGCGCGUGGCCUGCUAAUGGAUGGCCUGGAAAUCCUAACCUAAAUAUGCAACAUAACAUUGGUUGGCAGAACGCCGGUGCCGCUGCGCGUUAUUUCCUAUUCAAAGGGAAAAAUUCGACGAAGGUGAAAAAGAUUAAAAAUGAAAACCAAGCGACCACAUUACAAGUGCAUUAUCAGUAAAUAUAUCGUUGACAAGAAGUCGUUACAACAAAAUAUACGGAACGUCCAUUUUUCAGUUUGUUUUGAUAAUGGUGUAAAAGAUUUUGUUUUAUAAUUUUACCUUGUUUUUAAGGAAAAUAAAGAGAGACACGCACAUGACAUGCGUUUCUUAAAUAUGUA